AUGACCGCGGACAGCGAGCUCUUCCUCGAGGUCAUCCUUCUGGAUAAGGGGCGCAUCUUUCGCGGCCAGAGCUCGCUCGUGGACGUUGGCGGCGGCAACGGCGCGGGCACGCGUGUGAUCGCCAAGGCGUUCCCGCGCAUCGAGUGCACCGUGCUGGAGCUCCCUCAGGUCUUCGGCAAAGCCGCCGGUGACCAUGGCAACCUGCGUUUCGUCGCAGGUGACAUGUUUGAAUCCCUUUCACCCGCGGAUGUUGUCUUGCUCAAGGGAGGCAUGUCUAUGUACCCCAUCGACAUCACCUAG
rnacentral:rRNA from 1 species